UGGUCAAGUUAUUAAGGGUGCAGGGCGGAUGCCUUGGCACUAGGAGCCGAUGAAGGACGUGAUAAGCUGCGAUAAGCUUCGGGGAGUUGCACGUAAACUUUGAUCCGAAGAUUUCCGAAUGAGGAAACUCACUUAGAGUAAUGUCUAAGUAUCAUUAAGUGAAUACAUAGCUUAAUGAGGGGAACUCAGGGAACUGAAACAUCUAAGUACCUGAAGGAAGAGAAAGAAAUUCGAUUCCGUAAGUAGCGGCGAGCGAACGCGGAUUAGCCCAAACCAAUAAAGUUUUCUUUAUUGGGGUUGCGGACAUAUCAUAACGAAGAGGUAUCGUAAUUGAAGAGGUUUGGAAAGACCCACCACAGAAGGUAAUAGUCCUGUAUGUUAAACGAGAAGACUUUAGAUAUGAUCCAGAGUACCACGGGACACGUGAAACCCUGUGGGAAGCAGGAGGGACCACCCUCCAAGGCUAAAUACUACCUAGUGACCGAUAGCGUAUAGUACCGUGAGGGAAAGGUGAAAAAGAACCCCGGGAGGGGGAGUGAAAUAGAACCUGAAACCCUGCACUUACAAGCUGUGGAAGCACAUUUCUUGUGUGACCGCGUACUUUUUGUAGAACGGGCCAACGAGUUACGUUAAGUAGCAAGGUUAAGCACUUAAGGUGCGGAGCCGUAGCGAAAGCGAGUUUUAACUGAGCGUUCAGUUACUUGACGUAGACCCGAAACCGGGCGACCUACCCAUGAGCAGGAUGAAGCGAAAGUAAAAUUUCGUGGAGGUCCGAACCCACGAGCGUUGAAAAGCUCGGGGAUGACUUGUGGGUAGCGGUGAAAUUCCAAUCGAGCCCGGAGAUAGCUGGUUCUCCCCGAAAUAGCUUUAGGGCUAGCCUCAAGGUGAGAGAUACGGAGGUAGAGCACUGAAUGUCCUAGGGGGUAUUGCACCUACCGAAGACUAUCAAACUCCGAAUGCCGUCAUCUUAUACUUGGGAGUCAGACUGUGGGUGAUAAGAUUCAUAGUCGAAAGGGCAACAGCCCAGAUCGUCAGCUAAGGUCCCUAAAUGUAAGUUAAGUGGUAAAGGAUGUGGGAUUGCACAGACAACCAGGAUGUUGGCUUAGAAGCAGCCACUCAUUCAAAGAGUGCGUAAUAGCUCACUGGUCGAGUGAUCCUGCGCCGAAGAUUUCCGGGGCUAAAACUUACUACCGAAGCUACGGCAUCAGUAAUGAUGGGUAGGGGAGCUUCCCAUACGGGUUGAAGCAUGACCGUAAGGACAUGUGGACAGUAUGGGAGUGAGAAUGUUGGCAUGAGUAGCGAGAUGUGGGUGAGAAUCCCACAGGCCGUAAACCCAAGGUUUCCAGGGGGAAGGUUCGUCCGCCCUGGGUUAGUCGGGACCUAAGCUGAGGCCGAAAGGCGUAGGUGAUGGACAACAGGUUGAUAUUCCUGUACUACCGAUAACCGUUUGAGAGAAGGGAUGACACAGUAGGAUAAGCUAAGCACACUGUUGGUUAUGUGUGCCCAAGCAUUGAGGCAGUCAAAGUAGGCAAAUCCGCUUUGAUAAUGCUGGGAUGUGAUGGGGAGCGAAAUUUAGUAGCGAAGUAGCUGAUUUCACACUGUCAAGAAAAGUCUCUAUCGAGGUUAAAGGUACCCGUACCGCAAACCGACACAGGUGGGUGAGGAGAGUAUCCUAAGGCCAGCGAGAGAACUGUUGUUAAGGAACUCGGCAAAAUGACCCCGUAACUUAGGGAUAAGGGGUGCCACCAUCAGGUGGCCGCAGAGAAUAGGCCCAAGCGACUGUUUUACCAAAAACAUAGGUUUCUGCUAAGUCGCAAGACGAUGUAUAGGAGCUGACGCCUGCCCGGUGCUGGAAGGUUAAGGGGAUCUGUUAGAGCAAUCGAAGCAGUGAACUUAAGCCCCAGUAAACGGCGGCCGUAACUAUAACGGUCCUAAGGUAGCGAAAUUCCUUGUCGGGUAAGUUCCGACCCGCACGAAAGGCGUAACGAUUUGGGCACUGUCUCAACAACAGACUCGGUGAAAUUGUAAUUCCGGUGAAGAUGCCGGAUACCUGCGACAGGACGGAAAGACCCCAUGGAGCUUUACUGUAGCUUGACAUUGGGUCUUGGUACUACAUGUACAGGAUAGGUGGGAGGCUUUGAAACCAGGACGCCAGUUUUGGCGGAGCCAUCCUUGGGAUACCACCCUUGUAGUACUGGGACUCUAACCAUAGGCCAUGAAUCUGGUCUUGGGACACUGUCAGGUGGGCAGUUUGACUGGGGCGGUCGCCUCCCAAAAGGUAACGGAGGCGCUCAAAGGUUCUCUCAGUACGGUCGGAAAUCGUACGUAGAGUGUAAAGGCAAAAGAGAGCUUGAUUGCAAGACAUACAGGUCGAGCAAGGAUGAAAAUCGGACUUAGUGAUCCGGUGGUUCUGCGUGGAAGGGCCAUCGCUCAACGGAUAAAAGCUACCCUGGGGAUAACAGGCUUAUCUCCCCCAAGAGUCCACAUCGACGGGGAGGUUUGGCACCUCGAUGUCGGCUCAUCACAUCCUGGGGCUGUAGUAGGUCCCAAGGGUUGGGCUGUUCGCCCAUUAAAGUGGUACGCGAGCUGGGUUCAGAACGUCGUGAGACAGUUCGGUCCCUAUCCGUCGCAGGCGUAGGAAAUUUGAGAAGACCUGUCCUUAGUACGAGAGGACCGGGAUGGACGUACCUCUGGUGUACCAGUUGUCCUGCCAAGGGCAUGGCUGGGUAGCUAUGUACGGAAUGGAUAAGCGCUGAAAGCAUCUAAGCGCGAAGUCAACUUCAAGAUAAGAUUUCCCACCGCAAGGGUAAGACCCCAGAAAGACUAUCUGGUUGAUAGGUCGAAGGUGUAAGUGCAGCAAUGUAUUUAGCUUAUCGAUACUAAUAGGUCGAGGACUUGACCAAU
rnacentral:rRNA from 1 species